GACAGAGGAUGCAAGUGUUAUCCGGAAUCACUGGGCGUAAAGCGUCUGUAGGUGGUUCAAUAAGUCAACUGUUAAAUCUUGAGGCUCAACUUCAAAAUCGCAGUCGAAACUAUUGGACUCGAGUAUAGUAGGGGUAAAGGGAAUUUCAGUGGAGCGGUGAAAUGCGUAGAGAUCGGAAAGAACACCAACGGCGAAAGCACUCUGCUGGGCCGACACUGACACUGAGAGACGAAAGCUAGGGGAGCGAAUGGG
rnacentral:rRNA from 1 species